rnacentral:rRNA from 1 species
UGGGGAAUAUUGGGCAAUGGACGCAAGUCUGACCCAGCGACGCCGCGUGAGGGAUGAAGGCCUUCGGGUUGUAAACCUCUUUCAGUAGGGAAGAAGCGAAAGUGGCGGUACCUACAAAAGAAGCACCGGCUAACUCUGUG